UACGAGGGGUGCAAGCGUUGCUCGGAAUUAUUGGGCGUAAAGGGUAGGUAGGUGGUCUCAUUUGUCUGGGGUGAAAGCCUUGAGCUUAACUCAAGAAGUGCCCCGGAAACGGUGAGACUAGAGUCCUGGAGAGGGUCGUGGAAUUCCCGGUGUAGCGGUGAAAUGCGUAGAGAUCGGGAGGAACACCAGAGGCGAAGGCGGCGACCUGGACAGGCACUGACACUCAACUACGAAAGCGUGGGGAGCAAACAGG
rnacentral:rRNA from 1 species